rnacentral:rRNA from 1 species
ACAGGUGGGUGGGUGUAAGUGCACCAAGGCGCGCGAGAGAGACCUCUCUAAGGAACUCGGCACAUUAGCCCCGUAACUUCGGGAAAAGGGGUGCUCGCUUCGGCGAGCCACAGUAAAUUGCGUUUAGCGACUGUUUAACAAAAACACAGCACUCUGCCACGUCGUUAAGACAACGUAUAGGGUGUGACAAGUGACCAAUGCGGAAAGAUCAAGGCAAGGGGUUAGCCGCAAGGCGAAGCUCUGAACCUAAGUCCCCGUGAAUGUCGGCCGUAACUAUAACGGUCCUAAGGUAGCGAAAUUCCUUGUCGGGUAAGUUCCGACCUGCACGAAUCUUGUAACGACUGAACGACUGUCUCGGAGAGGUCCUCGGCGAAACUGUAACGGCGGUGAAGAUGCCGCCUGCCCGCAGUAGGACGGAAAGACCCUAUGCACCUUUACUGUAAGCUCGUAUUGGCUUCUGGUUGAUGAUGCUUAGCGUAGGUGGGAGACUUUGAAGGCAUGGCUUCGGUUGUGCUGGAGUCGAAAUGUGAAACACCACUCUUUGUCAACUAGGAGUCUAACCUCGAUCCCGUUAGCCGGGCGAGGGACAGUGCGUGCGGGUCAGUUUGGCUGGGGCGGCUUCCUCCCAAAUGGUAACGGAGGAGCGCGAAGCUGGGCUCAGCAUGGUUGGCAACCAUGCGUCGAGCGUAUGGGUAGAAGCCCGGUUAACUGCGAGACCAACAAGUCAAGCAGAUGCGAAAGCAGGCCCAAAUGAUCCGAUGGUUGAAUGUGGAAUUGCCAUCGCUCAACGGACAAAAGGUACGCUAGGGAUAACAGGCUGAUCGGGACCAAGAGUUCACAUCGACGUCCCGGUUUGGCACCUCGAUGUCGGCUCAUCGCAUCCUGGGGCUGGAGAAGGUCCCAAGGGUCCGGCUGUUCGCCGGUUAAAGCGGUACGCGAGCUGGGUUCAGAACGUCGUGAGACAGUUCGGUCCUUAUCCACUGUGGGCGGAGGAAACUUGAGGGGUUCAUUCCUUAGUACGAGAGGACCGGGAAUGACGCACUUCUGGUGUGGCAGUUGUCGUGUCAACGGCAGCGCUGCGUAGCCACGUGCGGAAGGGAUAAGCGCUGAAAGCAUCUAAGUGCCAAGCCCAUCCCAAGAUAUGGUUUCCCAGACGCAAGUCCCUGAAGACACCAAGCAGACUACUUGGUUGAUAGGCUGGGCGUGCAAGCUCCGUGAGGAGUUUAGCGGACCAGUACUAAUCAGUCGUGAGGCUUGAUUGC